GUGUUUAAGAGACAGAGUAUAGAUCAAAAGUGUACUCUGUACUGCUCCCAUUUCUCUCAUUAGGCAACCCCAUACAAAGUCCAAAGUUCAAUACCAAGGCAGGUCUCAAAUGCAGAAAUGGAUGGUUAGCUCUUGCUUCUUUUAAUUAAUAUGAAAACUGUUCCUACACUAUAUUCUGAGCAUUCGUGUCCAGGCUAUAUACAGCAGCGGGAAGGAGAGGAGGCAGCACACGUGUGCCCUUUUUACCAACCAAAUAACCGGAGGCAGCGGCGGCAGCAGCAACAGAGGAAUCGGCAGCGGGGGCAGCAGCAGCUGAUCCCCCGAAGGUAAGUGGGGCGGAGGGACCCGGCACAGCUGAGCCGGAUCCGGAGGGGAAGCCCCCCGGGUCCCAUAUAGCUGAGCCGGUAGGGAGCCGCGCUCCCGAGCCGCGCGGCGCGAACAGAGCGCGCAAACAGGCACACUCUGUAAGAGCACGCCGGCGUUUGCACAGGCGUUCACGCCGGAGGGCGGGCCAGGAGGGCCAGGAGUGGGAGUCCUGUAGGGGUAGGGCGUAGACACCGCGCAGGUCUACAAACAGCAGCCCGUAGAAUGGUGUCUAUGAGGAGUGCUGCUAGGGCCUCUGCCCAGGGGGACAAGGCUACCCGGGGCAGGUCUGAGGCCUCCACCCAGACCGAGCCCAUGGGGGAGCUGGUGUCCCCCUACCUCCUGGCCUGUGGGGGAUCCCCAGCAGGGCCGGGGGGGGCAGAGAUUGGGGGCCCCCACACCUGUCCGGCAGGUGCCCGUCUUAGGGCUCUGGAGGCACAGGUGAGGGAGCUCUGGGAGGAGGUUAGCAGGCUGAGGGGGAUCAGGGAGGCGGAGGACGAAAUUGAUAGUUAUUUCCUUUCCCUGCAGGCCCAGGCACCAAAGGAAGAAGCACCCUGGGGAAUACCCUCCACAGCAGAGUGGCAGACGGUCACAGCCAGGACCGGAGCGGCACACAGCAAACCAGUACCAGCUUCUCCAGUCCGACUGGUGAACAGAUCAAGAGAUCCACGAGGACCCAGAGGAGGAGGUGACGAGUGCUCGUCAUAGGCGACUCCAUCCUGAGAGGUACGGAAGGACCCAUCUGUCGCCAGGACCCCUCGGCACGAGAGUGACCGGACGAGGAAGACGGCAGGAGAACUGCAUCAGAGAGACCAAUUGGUGGCUUCGGCAGUGGUGUCUCGAGGCAGGCUUCGGCUUCCUGGACAAUGACCCGCACGUCACGACGAGGGACAUGCUCAGCUGGGAUGGGCUUCACCUGUCCCCCAAAGGUAAGCGUGUGUU